rnacentral:rRNA from 1 species
UAGGGAAUCUUCCGCAAUGGGCGAAAGCCUGACGGAGCAACGCCGCGUGAGUGAUGAAGGUCUUCGGAUCGUAAAACUCUGUUAUUAGGGAAGAACAAAUGUGUAAGUAACUAUGCACGUCUUGACGGUACCUAAUCAGAAAGCCACGGCUAACUACGUGCCAGCAGCCGCGGUAAUACGCAGGUGGCAAGCGUUAUCCGGAAUUAUUGGGCGUAAAGUGCGCGUAGGUGGUUAUUUAAGUCUGUUGUGAAAGCCCACGGCUCAACCGUUGAGGGUCAUUGUAAACUGGAAAACUUGAGUGCAGAAGAGGAAAGUGGAAUUCCAUAUGUAGCAGUGAUAUGCGCAGAGAUAUGGAUGAGCACCAGUUGCGAAGAAGACUUUAUUGUCUGUAACUGACGCUGAUGUGUGAAAGCGUGGGGAUCUAACAGG